rnacentral:rRNA from 1 species
GGGUUGUGAGGUUAAGCGACUAAGCGUACACGGUGGAUGCCCUGGCAGUCAGAGGCGAUGAAGGACGUGCUAAUCUGCGAUAAGCGUCGGUGAGGUGAUAUGAACCGUUAUAACCGGCGAUUUCCGAAUGGGGAAACCCAGUGUGUUUCGACACACUAUCAUUAACUGAAUCCAUAGGUUAAUGAGGCGAACCGGGGGAACUGAAACAUCUAAGUACCCCGAGGAAAAGAAAUCAACCGAGAUUCCCCCAGUAGCGGCGAGCGAACGGGGAGGAGCCCAGAGCCUGAAUCAGUGUGUGUGUUAGUGGAAGCGUCUGGAAAGGCGCGCGAUACAGGGUGACAGCCCCGUACACAAAAAUGCACAUACUGUGAGCUCGAUGAGUAGGGCGGGACACGUGGUAUCCUGUCUGAAUAUGGGGGGACCAUCCUCCAAGGCUAAAUACUCCUGACUGACCGAUAGUGAACCAGUACCGUGAGGGAAAGGCGAAAAGAACCCCGGCGAGGGGAGUGAAAAAGAACCUGAAACCGUGUACGUACAAGCAGUGGGAGCCUCUUAAUGGGGUGACUGCGUACCUUUUGUAUAAUGGGUCAGCGACUUAUAUUCUGUAGCAAGGUUAACCGAAUAGGGGAGCCGAAGGGAAACCGAGUCUUAACUGGGCGUUAAGUUGCAGGGUAUAGACCCGAAACCCGGUGAUCUAGCCAUGGGCAGGUUGAAGGUUGGGUAACACUAACUGGAGGACCGAACCGACUAAUGUUGAAAAAUUAGCGGAUGACUUGUGGCUGGGGGUGAAAGGCCAAUCAAACCGGGAGAUAGCUGGUUCUCCCCGAAAGCUAUUUAGGUAGCGCCUCGUGAAUUCAUCUCCGGGGGUAGAGCACUGUUUCGGCAAGGGGGUCAUCCCGACUUACCAACCCGAUGCAAACUGCGAAUACCGGAGAAUGUUAUCACGGGAGACACACGGCGGGUGCUAACGUCCGUCGUGAAGAGGGAAACAACCCAGACCGCCAGCUAAGGUCCCAAAGUCAUGGUUAAGUGGGAAACGAUGUGGGAAGGCCCAGACAGCCAGGAUGUUGGCUUAGAAGCAGCCAUCAUUUAAAGAAAGCGUAAUAGCUCACUGGUCGAGUCGGCCUGCGCGGAAGAUGUAACGGGGCUAAACCAUGCACCGAAGCUGCGGCAGCGACACUAUGUGUUGUUGGGUAGGGGAGCGUUCUGUAAGCCUGUGAAGGUGGCCUGUGAGGGUUGCUGGAGGUAUCAGAAGUGCGAAUGCUGACAUAAGUAACGAUAAAGCGGGUGAAAAGCCCGCUCGCCGGAAGACCAAGGGUUCCUGUCCAACGUUAAUCGGGGCAGGGUGAGUCGACCCCUAAGGCGAGGCCGAAAGGCGUAGUCGAUGGGAAACAGGUUAAUAUUCCUGUACUUGGUGUUACUGCGAAGGGGGGACGGAGAAGGCUAUGUUGGCCGGGCGACGGUUGUCCCGGUUUAAGCGUGUAGGCUGGUUUUCCAGGCAAAUCCGGAAAACCAAGGCUGAGGCGUGAUGACGAGGCACUACGGUGCUGAAGCGACAAAUGCCCUGCUUCCAGGAAAAGCCUCUAAGCAUCAGGUAACAUCAAAUCGUACCCCAAACCGACACAGGUGGUCAGGUAGAGAAUACCAAGGCGCUUGAGAGAACUCGGGUGAAGGAACUAGGCAAAAUGGUGCCGUAACUUCGGGAGAAGGCACGCUGAUAUGUAGGUGAAGCGACUUGCUCGUGGAGCUGAAAUCAGUCGAAGAUACCAGCUGGCUGCAACUGUUUAUUAAAAACACAGCACUGUGCAAACACGAAAGUGGACGUAUACGGUGUGACGCCUGCCCGGUGCCGGAAGGUUAAUUGAUGGGGUUAGCGGUAACGCGAAGCUCUUGAUCGAAGCCCCGGUAAACGGCGGCCGUAACUAUAACGGUCCUAAGGUAGCGAAAUUCCUUGUCGGGUAAGUUCCGACCUGCACGAAUGGCGUAAUGAUGGCCAGGCUGUCUCCACCCGAGACUCAGUGAAAUUGAACUCGCUGUGAAGAUGCAGUGUACCCGCGGCAAGACGGAAAGACCCCGUGAACCUUUACUAUAGCUUGACACUGAACAUUGAGCCUUGAUGUGUAGGAUAGGUGGGAGGCUUUGAAGUGUGGACGCCAGUCUGCAUGGAGCCGACCUUGAAAUACCACCCUUUAAUGUUUGAUGUUCUAACGUUGGCCCGUAAUCCGGGUUGCGGACAGUGUCUGGUGGGUAGUUUGACUGGGGCGGUCUCCUCCUAAAGAGUAACGGAGGAGCACGAAGGUUGGCUAAUCCUGGUCGGACAUCAGGAGGUUAGUGCAAUGGCAUAAGCCAGCUUGACUGCGAGCGUGACGGCGCGAGCAGGUGCGAAAGCAGGUCAUAGUGAUCCGGUGGUUCUGAAUGGAAGGGCCAUCGCUCAACGGAUAAAAGGUACUCCGGGGAUAACAGGCUGAUACCGCCCAAGAGUUCAUAUCGACGGCGGUGUUUGGCACCUCGAUGUCGGCUCAUCACAUCCUGGGGCUGAAGUAGGUCCCAAGGGUAUGGCUGUUCGCCAUUUAAAGUGGUACGCGAGCUGGGUUUAGAACGUCGUGAGACAGUUCGGUCCCUAUCUGCCGUGGGCGCUGGAGAACUGAGGGGGGCUGCUCCUAGUACGAGAGGACCGGAGUGGACGCAUCACUGGUGUUCGGGUUGUCAUGCCAAUGGCACUGCCCGGUAGCUAAAUGCGGAAGAGAUAAGUGCUGAAAGCAUCUAAGCACGAAACUUGCCCCGAGAUGAGUUCUCCCUGAGACUUAGAGUCUCCUGAAGGAACGUUGAAGACGACGACGUUGAUAGGCCGGGUGUGUAAGCGCAGCGAUGCGUUGAGCUAACCGGUACUAAUGAACCGUGAGGCUUAACCUUACAACGCCGAAG